rnacentral:rRNA from 1 species
AGGCGGAUUGUUAAGUCUGGUGUGAAAGCCCGGGGCUCAACCCCGGAAGUGCAUUGGAUACUGGCAAUCUUGAGUAUGGGAGAGGAAAGUGGAAUUCCGAGUGUAGGAGUGAAAUCCGUAGAUAUUCGGAGGAACACCAGUGGCGAAGGCGGCUUUCUGGACCAAUACUGACGCUGAGAUGCGAAAGCGUGGGGAGCAAACA